rnacentral:lncRNA from 1 species
UUCUCUUUGCCUCUUUAUACCCAUGGCUUGAAAACCUCCUUGGGUAUCUUUCUCUGACUUCGGGUGAGGGACGUGAUGACACAUAUUUCCUGAUCAUGACAUCUUUAAGAUCUUCCCAGUUGGUGACAACCGCUUCUGGACUUUUACCAUGUGUCUUAUCUACUCUUUUCCACCAUGAGUAAGCUUUUCCGGAGAGUUGCUUGAUGGCAUGAGCUAGCCUCUCC